GCCACUAGAUGGUGCUGAGUAUCAAAAAAAUAUAUGUUCCUCAGCGCCAUCUUGUGGUCAUAAUGAGGUGUUUUUCACAUUCACAUGAAUAACAUUUGAUCAGCAAAAAUCAUAGCCUCAGAACAUUCUAUUUUGUCACUUUUGUACAGAACAAAUCUACAGGCAGUUUUGAUUCCCGAACAGAUAUGCAAUUAUUAUAUUUUAAACCCCACUGGUAUUUUAUAUAAGAAAGGAAAGGAGAAGUCUAGGUGGGUGUCGCAGUGUUUCUGAUGAACGUUUCCUUCUCGGUGUCAUCAUCCGGACACGGCGCUCACUCCAUACACACACACAGAGAUCUGUGUAAAGAUACAAAUGUUUCCAUUGGGGAAUAGGCGAUGUUUAUUAGAAAUGGAGGAGUGACUUGUAUAGAGGAUGUUGGUCUUCUUCUAUCCCAUCAAUAAUGACUUCUUUCCUGGGAACAAUCUGUGAUAUGGACAUUCCACACACACAUUCCGGGAAGGUUGCUCAGGAAAUCUGUUCUGUAGGAGGAAUGGAUUUCAGUCAUUGGAUCUCUGGAAUUGAUCCAUUGUCCACCUUCUGGAAUUCCAUUCAUCUGAUCACAGGAAAGUGACAUUGAUUAGUUGGAGGUUCAUCAAUAAUCUUCAUAUUGAUCAGAUCAGAUGUGUGAUCUUCUCCUGUAACAUGGAAAUCUUUCUUCUGCUUUUCUCUCUCUAGAAAUAAAUGUCUUUGUAUUGCA